CCUACGGGAGGCAGCAGUGGGGAAUUUUGCGCAAUGCUCGUAAGAGUGACGCAGCGACGCCGCGUGAAUGACGAAGGCCUUCGGGUCGUAAAGUUCUUUCGACAGGGAAGAAAAUGCCUAUAAGUAACUGUGUCUGUAUUGACGGUACCUUUAUAAGCAGCCCCGGCUAACUCCGUGCCAGCAGCCGCGGUAAUACGGAGGGGGCGAGCGUUGUUCGGUGUGACUGGGCGUAAAGAGCACGUUGGCGGUGUUGUAAGUUAUUAGUCAAAGACUAGAGCUCAACUUUAGGAAGGCUAGUGAUACUAUAAUACUAGAGUAUGAGAGAGGAUGGCAGAAGUCCUGGUGUAGCGGUGAAAUGCGUAGAUAUCA
rnacentral:rRNA from 1 species